rnacentral:rRNA from 1 species
UACGGAGGGUGCGAGCGUUGUCCGGAAUCACUGGGCGUAAAGGGCGCGUAGGCGGCCCGGUAAGUAGGGGGUGAAAUCUUGCGGCUUAACCGCAAGGCUGCCUUCUAGACUGCCAGGCUCGAGCACAGUAGAGGCAGGUGGAAUUCCCGGUGUAGCGGUGGAAUGCGUAGAGAUCGGGAAGAACAUCAGUGGCGAAGGCGGCCUGCUGGACUGUAGCUGACGCUGAGGCGCGACAGCGUGGGGAGCAAACAGG